UACGAAGGGGGCAAGCGUUGUUCGGAUUUACUGGGCGUAAAGCGUACGUAGGCGGAUGAUUAAGUCAGGGGUGAAAUCCCGGGGCUCAACCUCGGAACUGCCUUUGAUACUGGUCAUCUUGAGUCCGGGAGAGGUGAGUGGAACUCCUAGUGUAGAGGUGAAAUUCGUAGAUAUUAGGAAGAACACCAGUGGCGAAGGCGGCUCGCUGGGACGUUACUGACGCUGAGACGCGAAAGCGUGGGGAGCAAACAGG
rnacentral:rRNA from 1 species